UCCAACUGAUUAACGAAGCUUUAGAGUGACAUCACAUUUAACAUACCCGAAAUUACUCCUUUGUAUGGUAUACGCAUGGACUAACUUCGAAAUAAAAAUAUUGAUUCACCAAGAAAAAAUUCUUCUAUACUAAAAUUAAAAGAAAUUUGAAACGUGAUCACUCUUUCAAAAAGGGAGUGACAGGAGUAAAAAAUGUUGAAAAGCUAAUGAAAUUUCACGUCGAAUAAACCAAUUAAGUUCACAGUCCGUUCAGAGUCUUCACCAGCCUAUACGGUUCCCCGAUAUUCGUUUUUUCCAAAAUGAACAUGGUGAACUUCAAGUCUUGCACGGAAAUUUUCGUCCAGUACUAGUGGGCCAAUAUAUGAUUGGUGUGCUUCAGAAUGAUGUACUUCGCCCAAUAUAUGAUCAUCAACGGCAAAUGGUUAUAGUAUACAUAGAUAAUAUUUAUAUGAUCAAUGUUCGACUAACUCAAGAUCAUGUUCGGUUAAUACCUUACGGUCAUUCUCUUUCUCACAGUCAAAUCUAUGCAGCAUCAUUUACGUAUCAUUUCAUGUAAAUUAUGAUUCAAAUGUAAUAUGUAUGUAUUCAUUUUGAAG